rnacentral:rRNA from 1 species
UACGGGGGGGGCAAGCGUUGUUCGGAAUUACUGGGCGUAAAGGGUGCGUAGGCGGCUUUCUAAGUUGGAUGUGAAAACUAUGGGCUCAACCCAUAGCCUGCAUCCAAAACUGGAGAGCUUGGGUUCUGGAGGGGAAAGCGGAAUUCCUGGUGUAGCGGUGAAAUGCGUAGAUAUCAGGAGGAACACCGGUGGCGAAGGCGGCUUUCUGGACAGACACCGACGCUGAGGCACGAAAGCUAGGGGAGCAAACGGG